rnacentral:rRNA from 1 species
AUAAGAGGUUACUAACUCUGUGCCAGCAGUAGCGGUAAUACAGAGACCUCAAGCGUUAUCCGGAUUUAUUGGGCGUAAAGCGCAGGUAGGCGGGUUUAUUAGUCGGAUGUCAAAGACCGGGGCUCAACUCCGGGAAGGCAUUCGAAACGGUAUACCUCGAGAAUGUGAGAGAUGAGUGGAAUUCAUGGUGUAGUAGUGAAAUGCGUUGAUAUCAUGAGGAACACCGAAGGCGAAGGCAACUCAUUGGCACAUUUCUGACGCUGAGCUGCGAAAGCGUGGGGAGCGAAUGGGAUUAGAUACCCCAGUAGUCCACGCUGUAAACGAUGCAUACUAGGUGCAGGGAGAAUCGACCCUUUCUGUGCCGUAGCUAACGCGUUAAGUAUGCCGCCUGGGAAGUACGAGCGCAAGCUUAAAACUCAAAGGAAUAGACGGGGAUCCGCACAAGUGGUGGAGCAUGUGGUUUAAUUCGACGGUAAGCGAGGCACCUCACCAGGGUUUGAAAUCUAGCUGCAGGGCCCAGAAAUGGGACGUCCUUCGAGGGUGCUAGACCAGGUGCUGCAUGGUUGUCGUCAGCUCGUGUCGUAAGAUGUUCCGUUCAGUCGGGAAACGAGCGCAACCCUCAUGAAGUGUUACAUGUGUCACUUCAGACUGCCCCCUCAAAAGGGGAGAAUACUCAGUUUGUAUUCUCAAUUUUUGAGGGGGAGGAAGGCGAGGAUGACGUCAAAUCAGCAUGGCCCUUUGACACCCUGGGCGACACACGUGCUACAAUGGCCGAUAAUAAAGGGUUGCCAACCAGCGAUGGGGAGCUAAUCUCAAAAACUCGGUCUCAGUUCGGAUUGCAGGCUGCAACUCGCCUGCAUGAAGCUGGAAUCACUAGUAAUCGUGAAUCAGCCACGUCACGGUGAAUGCGUUCUCGGAUCUUGUACUCACCGCCCGUCACACCAAGAGAGCCGGCAAUACCAGAAGGCCCCGGGUUAAAUCGGGGACGACGGUAGGGUUGGUAAUAAGGGUGAAGUCGUAACAAGGCAUCCGUAGCGGAAGCUGUGGAUG